CAGCACCGAAGAAAAGUGUGAUUAUUGUGACAACUGAUUUGUUGUGGGCAAUGGGUGUCUGUGUUGGAAUGAUGGCUGAAGUCAAGGAAGACAUGCAAGUUUAUUCUGCGGUCACACCAUGGCGAUAUGUGGUUACAAGAAGGACGGUUAUGCUGUCUGAAUUGAGUUUAUCAGACCUGGGGCCUCAUGUAUCAAUGCUGCGUAAGCACGAACAUUUUGCUUACGCCAGAUUUCACGCUAACGUUUGGAUUUACUAACAAUAAAAUGAAUGUGAGUGUGCACUAAUCCACGCUAACUUCAUGCUUGGCGUACGUGCUUUUCUUGUGUGUAUUUGUUUUAUUUAAAUUGGCAACUCCAAGAAACAAUUAUGUUAAAUUGCACACUACAAAGUAUUUUUCAGUUGUGCAAUGGCAGUAGUAUGACAUGGGACCAUUUACAUGUCUAGCAAGUAUAUAAUGUUUCCAUACAAUACAGUUGACCAGGCAAACAUCAAAGCGCAACUUGCAGCGAUCGCCAGUUUUCCCAAUGUAAUCCAACAAUCGUGUGUGACUGACGUGCGCACAUUGCUAUAAAGGCGCCAUCUGAAGACAAAUUUGCAUACGUUAAUUGGAAACAUUUUCAUUCAUUAAAUGUGCAAAUAAUAAUGAUGCUCAAGUGUGCUUAACAUAAUACACACAGUUAUUAAUAAUUUCUACAUGUCUUUUUUAUGAUAAAGAGUAGACUAUUCUGACGUAGUAGGGGAAAAACAGCUUAACAAGCUACACCACUCAUGCUACUGUUUUUUGCUCUCUUUAUUUAUGUUGCCUCUGUAAAUCGAACAUUAAUGGGCAGGAAUCACUCAACUAGUUUGUUCAGAUGAGUUUUGAUAUUUGCAGCCUAAAUAAACACUACAAAACUUUACACCAUCACAUCGAACAAUUUCUUUUUUUAAUUAUCUCACAGUGCGAUGUUUAGAGCCACCUUCGUUAAUUGUGGCAGCUAAACUGUCCCACUCUAUUUUUUUUUCUUUUGGUAUUAAUUCUGGAGUACAAAUUUGCAAAUAACAAUUUUUUUCCAUUCUACCUCCAAAAGGAGCACCUUCCAAUUCACAUUCUGUUCAGAGUUUCUUUUUGCUUGCUUUUGCCAUCGCUUUUUCAUUUGGUUGUGA